UAAAGAGUAGUACAGUGGGAGUACGAAGAGUUUUGAUCUCUUAGGCGUGGGUUCAACUCCCACCUUUUUAA
rnacentral:tRNA from 1 species